rnacentral:tRNA from 1 species
GCGCCACUAGUAUAUCGGUUAUUAUGUGUGCUUCCCAAGCAUGAGAGGACGGUUCGAUUCCGUCGUGGCGCA